CUUUGGGAUAACCCUCGGAAACGGGGGCUAAUACCGGGUAUGACCAUCUGUCGCAUGGUGGGUGGCGGAAAGUUUUUUCGGCUAGGGAUGGGCUCGCGGCCUAUCAGCUUGUUGGUGGGGUGAUGGCCUACCAAGGCGACGACGGGUAGCCGGCCUGAGAGGGCGACCGGCCACACUGGGACUGAGACACGGCCCAGACUCCUACGGGAGGCAGCAGUGGGGAAUAUUGCACAAUGGGCGGAAGCCUGAUGCAGCGACGCCGCGUGAGGGAUGACGGCCUUCGGGUUGUAAACCUCUUUCGACCCUGACGAAGCGUGAGUGACGGUAGGGGGAGAAGAAGCGCCGGCCAACUACGUGCCAGCAGCCGCGGUAAGACGUAGGGCGCGAGCGCUGUCCGGAUUUAUUGGGCGUAAAGAGCUCGUAGGCGGCUCGUUGCGUCGGCUGUGAAAACCCGCGGCUUAACUGUGGGCUUGCAGCCGAUACGGGCGGGCUGGAGUUCGGUAGGGGAGACUGGAAUUCCUGGUGUAGCGGUGAAAUGCGCAGAUAUCAGGAGGAACACCGGUGGCGAAGGCGGGUCUCUGGGCCGAUACUGACGCUGAGGAGCGAAAGCGUGGGGAGCGAACAGGAUUAGAUACCCUGGUAGUCCAUGCUGUAAACGUUGGGCGC
rnacentral:rRNA from 1 species